rnacentral:lncRNA from 1 species
GAGAUCCCGCUCCGCUUUCUCCGCUUUAAAGCGGUAGACCAUGGCUUCUCUAUGGCCCACCUCAAUGGCCGAGCCCAGCAGGCUCAGGCCCUGCAAAAUCGAUUGACAUGUUAUAAACAUAUAUACACAGGACAAUCACCAAGAAAUCCUCAAAAACUAACCCCAUUGAUGAUGCAAGAUCCCUCUGCAACGACUCUCGGCCUCGCCGAUUCUUUCGUAGGAGGAGGAGCAUCGAAACCCAGUGGCAGUCCAGCAAAGAAGUCAUCGAAAUCCAGAACAGGGUCCUCGCUCGAACCGCUCCCAUCGUUGUAAGCAAGGUCCG